CGCUCCGCCCCCGCCCGGCGCCGACCUGCCGCGCGCACGCGCACGGCGUCCGGACCCGCCGCCUCGCUCCGGCUUGGCCCCGCCCUCCGGAGCCGUGUUCCCGCCCCUCACUGCCCCGCCGAAGCCCGGUGACCCGAGGCCUUGCCCCAUUCUCCAAGCGAGAUUGGAUGGUUUGUCCAAUACAAAAGGAAAGAAAGUAGUUUUCCAAGGUUAUGGAAUAAUUCAGGGAAGACUUUUCUAUAAGAACCACCCGGAGGGAAUUAUCUCCCCGUACUCCCUGGACCAUGCCCUGCGGUCCUGUGUUAAGUAAGCUGCAAAAGUGAACAAAAAAGUUUUGUCUCCUCAAGUUGGCUGAAAGUGUGGCAGCCCAUCGUUGGUCACUGCCUUACUUAUGGAUCUCAGGUUGUUGGUUUAGCGUCCCUGAUAAGCAUAAAUGAUGUUUACUACGUGGCGUUCAGGAAAAGGAUGAGAACAGCAAACAGGCAAAGGAGUUCUUUCUCCAGCCCACCCACUCGUACCGAUGUCCCAUGGCCCUUCCUGGACGGAAAGAGUCUUACAGGGGUUCAAACAAGCCAUACGCUGAGAUGGGAUUUAGAGGAGAUGGUCACCAGGAAGCAGUUGCAUUAAGCAGAUAUCUGGAUGGAUCACAUUGAAGAACUGGGAGGAAGCAGAGAACUGGAAACUGUAUCAAAGGUGAUUGAGCCCUGCUUCUCAUAUGAGAAAGUUAAACAUAUUCAAAAUGGAUACCAAGGCAAAAUAAAAUUAUGAGAAUUACUGUACUAGAGAUGGCAGCGGCUGCUCCAGACGGCCUACUGCUGCAGCAGGGAGGCAUGGCCAGGGCUGCACGCUCUCUGGCGGGAGCCAGGGACAAGCGGGAGACCCACCCCUUCUGAGUUGGGGUGGGAACUCCCUGGUUGCCUCUGCAGCACAGCUGCAGACUGGGGCCUCCUGCUCCACAGAGCAGGCAGAAGCACCACCCAAGGUGUGGCUGCAGAUCUGAGCCUCCCUGUGCUCUUAGGGGGCCAGGAGCAGGCAGGAGCCCUGCCCUCCCCGAGGGCAGCUGUAGCCACCCAAACCACGGCUGCAGCCCCAGGCAUCCCUGCACUCUUGGGGGCCCAGGAAGGCCCUGCAUGCCCUCACAGGCUCAGAAAUGCCUGCUCCUGCUGCCUGGCUUCUCCCUGCUGUUGGCACCUGCUCCAUUCUUGGAGCAAAGUUGAGGCUGAACCCAGGCACCAUGAAUGGCAGUGGGAGGCAGACAGACUCCUGGGCAGAAGGGGGUGGGUCCCCAGUGAGGCCCCAGCUUCUGGCCAAGGAGGGCCUGAAGGCUGGGGGUUGGGCUGCCAGCCCCAUGAACCAGAGUGGGAACUUGUGGUGCCUUUUCCGAGCCUGCCCAUGGCUGCCCAUGGACCAAUCAGCGGCAGGCACUUGCUCCCCUCUGAGGCCCAUAAAAUCCCCAACUCAGCCAGAGCUGAGCAGAUGAUGGGACAACCAGCUGCAGAGAGGAGCUACCCUCUCAGCUGAGAGCUUCAGAGACUUGCAGAGAUGUCAGAACUACCAGCUUCAGAGAGGAGUGACCCUCUCCAGGGCCUCCUCUCUGCUAGGAGCUGGGCAGAUGUUAGGACAACCAGCUGCAGAGAGGAGCUACCCUCUCCAGGGCCUCCUCUCUCCUAGGAGCUGGGCAGACUUCAGGACACCCUGCCUACAGAGAGGAGCUACCCACUGCGGGUCUCCUCCGAGCUGUUUUAAUGCUCAAUAAAGCUUCUCUUUGUCUUGUUCACC
rnacentral:lncRNA from 10 species